ACGCUCGACACCUACGGGAGACAGCAGUUGGGAAUAUUGGACAAUGGAGGAAACUCUGAUCCAGUGACGCCGCGUGAAGGAAGAAGGUCUUCGGAUUGUAAACUUAUUUUGUCAGGGAAGAAAAAAUGACUGUACCUGAAGAAAAAGACACCGGCUAACUACGUGCCACAGCCGCGGUAAUCUGAGCGGGCUGGCAAGGC
rnacentral:rRNA from 1 species